UCAGAGCCCGUUAAUGGGUGAUGGCGUGCCUUUUGUAGAAUGAACCGGCGAGUUACGAUUUGAUGCAAGGUUAAGCAGUAAAUGUGGAGCCGUAGCGAAAGCGAGUCUGAAUAGGGCGUUUAGUAUUUGGUCGUAGACCCGAAACCAGGUGAUCUACCCUUGGUCAGGUUGAAGUUCAGGUAACACUGAAUGGAGGACCGAACCGACUUACGUUGAAAAGUGAGCGGAUGAACUGAGGGUAGCGGAGAAAUUCCAAUCGAACCUGGAGAUAGCUGGUUCUCUCCGAAAUAGCUUUAGGGCUAGCCUCAAGUGAUGAUUAUUGGAGGUAGAGCACUGUUUGGACGAGGGGCCCCUCUCGGGUUACCGAAUUCAGACAAACUCCGAAUGCCAAUUAAUUUAACUUGGGAGUCAGAACAUGGGUGAUAAGGUCCGUGUUCGAAAGGGAAACAGCCCAGACCACCAGCUAAGGUCCCAAAAUAUAUGUUAAGUGGAAAAGGAUGUGGCGUUGCCCAGACAACUAGGAUGUUGGCUUAGAAGCAGCCAUCAUUUAAAGAGUGCGUAAUAGCUCACUAGUCGAGUGACACUGCGCCGAAAAUGUACCGGGGCUAAACAUAUUACCGAAGCUGUGGAUUGUCCUUUGGACAAUGGUAGGAGAGCGUUCUAAGG
rnacentral:rRNA from 1 species